rnacentral:rRNA from 1 species
CUGCGAAUGGCUCAUUAAAUCAGUUAUCGUUUAUUUGAUAGUACCUUACUACUUGGAUAACCGUGGUAAUUCUAGAGCUAAUACAUGCUAAAAACCCCGACUUCGGAAGGGGUGUAUUUAUUAGAUAAAAAACCAAUGCCCUUCGGGGCUCCUUGGUGAUUCAUAAUAACUUAACGAAUCGCAUGGCCUUGCGCCGGCGAUGGUUCAUUCAAAUUUCUGCCCUAUCAACUUUCGAUGGUAGGAUAGUGGCCUACCAUGGUAUCAACGGGUAACGGGGAAUUAGGGUUCUAUUCCGGAGAGGGAGCCUGAGAAACGGCUACCACAUCCAAGGAAGGCAGCAGGCGCGCAAAUUACCCAAUCCCGACGCGGGGAGGUAGUGACAAUAAAUACUGAUACAGGGCUCUUUUGGGUCUUGUAAUUGGAAUGAGUACAAUUUAAAUCCCUUAACGAGGAACAAUUGGAGGGCAAGUCUGGUGAACACUCAGCUAGUUCCAUUCUGCUGACGCCAGAGAUAGUAGGGCCUCGCCAGUUUGUACGGGCGAGGUUAGGCCUGCUAGUCGAUGCAUCCACAAGCAGCGAUGGGUGGAUGCCGGCAAGGUGACCUGGUACGGGGAAGCCUAAGGGCGCGACUUUCUAAAGGGAUGGUCGAGCACGCCUAUGGUAAUCCCGUGGCGAGCCGGAGCGAUCCGGCCGUCGUAACGCGCGGAAAGGCACCGGCUGUCGCGGACAACGCGAUGGCUCAAGGGACGUGCUGUCCCAUCCGAAAGGAUGCCUCAUACUGGAGCGCCCAUCGCGUAAAGGAUGAAGGGGGGGGCUCCUGAGCCCCUGGGUAAUGAUAAAACGGCCAGCAGCCGCGGUAAUUCCAGCUCCAAUAGCGUAUAUUAAAGUUGUUGCAGUUAAAAAGCUCGUAGUUGAACCUUGGGUCUGGCUGACCGGUCCGCCUCACCGCGUGCACUGGUUCGGCCGGACCUUUCCUUCUGGGGAUCCGCAUGCCUUCACUGGGCGUGUCGGGGAACCAGGACUUUUACUUUGAAAAAAUUAGAGUGUUCAAAGCAGGCCUUUGCUCGAAACAUUAGCAUGGAAUAAUAGAAUAGGACGUGCGGUUCUAUUUUGUUGGUUUCUAGGACCGCCGUAAUGAUUAAUAGGGAUAGUCGGGGGUAUCAGUAUUCAAUUGUCAGAGGUGAAAUUCUUGGAUUUAUUGAAGACUAACUACUGCGAAAGCAUUUACCAAGGAUGUUUUCAUUAAUCAGUGAACGAAAGUUAGGGGAUCGAAGACGAUCAGAUACCGUCGUAGUCUUAACCGUAAACGAUGCCGACUAGGGAUCGGGCGAUGUUAUCAUUUUGACUCGCUCGGCACCUUACGAGAAAUCAAAGUUUUUGGGUUCUGGGGGGAGUAUGGUCGCAAGGCUGAAACUUAAAGAAAUUGACGGAAGGGCACCACCAGGCGUGGAGCCUGCGGCUUAAUUUGACUCAACACGGGGAAACUCACCAGGUCCAGACACAGUGAGGAUUGACAGAUUGAGAGCUCUUUCUUGAUUUUGUGGGUGGUGGUGCAUGGCCGUUCUUAGUUGGUGGAGUGAUUUGUCUGCUUAAUUGCGAUAACGAACGAGACCUUAACCUGCUAAAUAGCCAGGCCAGCUUUGGCUGGUCGCCGGCUUCUUAGAGGGACUAUCGGCUCAACCGAUGAAAGUUU